rnacentral:misc_RNA from 1 species
GAUGAAGAACGCAGCGAAAUGCGAUAAGUAAUGUGAAUUGCAGAAUUCAGUGAAUCAUCGAAUCUUUGAACGCACAUUGCGCCCGCCAGUAUUCUGGCGGGCAUGCCUGUCUGAGCGUCAUUUCAACCCUCAUGCCCCUAGGGCGUGGUGUUGGGGAUCGGCCAAAGCCCGCGAGGGACGGCCGGCCCCUAAAUCUAGUGGCGGACCCGUCGUGGCCUCCUCUGCGAAGUAGUGAUAUUCCGCAUCGGAGNGNGACGAGCCCCUGCCGUUAAACCCCCAACUUUCCAAGGUUGACCUCAGAUCAGGUAGGAAUACCCGCUGAACUUAAGCAUAUCAAUAAGCGGAGGA